ensembl:piRNA 21ur-5424 ncRNA
UGAGGAAUACAAAACACGAUU